CAAAACUCCCAUAAGCAACAUAGCCACUGACAGUAGUCUCCACAUAUGAAACUUCCUCUUCGCCAACAGCCAUCCUAUCUUCACAAUCAUAGUUCCACAUCACAUAGAGGAAGGACUUACAUAGUUUGCUCAGAAAGGUCGAUCCACUGCAUGGAGUAUAGAUGUAAGGAUAGCAGGAUCCAUCAGAUUCGGCUUUAAGACUUUCAUAUCGAUAUUCAAUCAUGUCCUCCAAAAAAACCUUGGAGUUUUGUUGUCGGCGCCGAAGACGAUGGAGAUCAUUCCGGUGAGAGGAAGGGGAAAUCGAUGAAAAUAGUGCUUGUUUCGUGUUCAGGAGAAAGGGGGUAAUCAUCUGUGAAGGUUUGAGGGGAAUUGGUGUGAAUGGUUGGGGGUGG
rnacentral:misc_RNA from 1 species